rnacentral:rRNA from 1 species
UACGUAGGGUGCGAGCGUUGUCCGGAAUUAUUGGGCGUAAAGGGCUCGUAGGCGGUUUGUCGCGUCGGGAGUGAAAUCCACUGGCUUAACUGGUGGCUUGCUUUCGAUACGGGCAGACUGGAGGUAUGCAGGGGAGAACGGAAUUCCUGGUGUAGCGGUGAAAUGCGCAGAUAUCAGGAGGAACACCGGUGGCGAAGGCGGCAUCCUGGACCGAUAUUGACGCUGAUGCGCGAAAGCCAGGGGAGCAAACGGG